GAUGAACGCUGGCGGCGUGCUUAACACAUGCAAGUCGAACGGAAAGGCCGAAGCUUGCUUCGGUACUCGAGUGGCGAACGGGUGAGUAACACGUGGGUGAUCUGCCCUGUACUUCGGGAUAAGCUUGGGAAACUGGGUCUAAUACCGGAUAUGACGAUCUCUUGGAUGGGGUUGUGGAAAGCUUUUGCGGUAUGGGAUGAGCUCGCGGCCUAUCAGCUUGUUGGUGGGGUAAUGGCCUACCAAGGCGUCGACGGGUAGCCGGCCUGAGAGGGUGUACGGCCACAUUGGGACUGAGAUACGGCCCAGACUCCUACGGGAGGCAGCAGUGGGGAAUAUUGCACAAUGGGCGCAAGCCUGAUGCAGCGACGCCGCGUGGGGGAUGACGGCCUUCGGGUUGUAAAUUCCUUUCGCAAUCGACGAAGCCUUUUGGUGACGGUAGGUUGAGAAGAAGCACCGGCUAACUACGUG
rnacentral:rRNA from 1 species